AAAGAUGCAGAUGUGAGUAUUCAACUUUUGCUUUUCCUUCUAUCAAUGAUUUUGUCUUCUUUUUCCCAAUACUCCUAAAAGUACGAAUUCAAGUAUUCAUUCACAACACAACCGUGUCUCCCUAGCCUUUUGCUGCUUUUAUUUUCAAAAUAACUAUAGAAGAUGGCUGCAACUUUGGUUGGAGGGGCUUUUCUCUCUGCAACUGUUCAAACCUUAGUUGAGAAACUUGCCUCAACUGAAUUUCGUGAUUACAUAAAACACACCAAGCUGAAUGACUCGCUGUUGGCAGAGUUGAAAACAACACUGCUCGCUCUUCAAGCUGUGCUGGAUGAUGCAGAGAUGAAGCAGAUCACCAACACUGCUGUCAAAACAUGGUUAGAUGAAUUGAAAGAUACAAUCUUUGAUGCUGAGGAUUUGCUCAACCAAAUCAAUUAUGACGCCCUGCAGUGCAAGAUGGAGGGCAGACAGGCUGAAAACAUUACUAAUCAGGUAUGGAACCUCCUUUCAUCUCCAUUUAAAAACAUCUAUGGAGAGAUCAAUUCACAAAUGAAGAUUAUGUGUCAAAGGCUGCAACUUUUUGCUCAGCAGAGAGACAUUCUUGGCUUGCAAACUGUGAGCAGGAGAGUUUCUCGUAGAACCCCUUCGAGUUCAAUGGUAAAUGAAUCUAUUAUGGUUGGUAGGAAGGAUGAUAAAGAUAAACUAAUUAGUAUGUUGUUAUCAGACUAUGACACAAGUAGUAAUAAUAUUGGUGUUGUGGCAAUUUGGGGCAUGGGGGGUGUUGGCAAAACAACCCUUGCCCAACUUCUUUACAAUGAUAAAAAAGUACAAGAACAUUUUGAUCUAAAAGUCUGGGUUUGUGUGUCCGAGGAUUUCAAUAUUUUGAGAGUAACUAAAUCCCUUCUGGAAUCUAUCACUUCAGGACGCAGUGAAAGCAAUAAUCUUGAUUUUCUUCGAGUUGAAUUAAAUAAAAACUUGAGGGGUAAAAGAUUUUUGUUAGUGUUGGAUGACCUUUGGAAUGACAAUUAUAAUGAUUGGGAUGAACUAGUAACUCCUUUGAUUAACAGAAAAAAUGGAAGUAGGGUCAUCAUCACAACACGCCAACAAAAAGUUGCUGAGGUUGCACACACAUUUCCCAUUCAUAAAGUAGAGACGCUAUCAGAUGAUGAUUGUUGGUCUUUACUCUCAAAGCAUGCAUUCAGAAGUGAAGACUGUCAAGGCAACAAAUGCCCAAAUCUAGAAGCAAUUGGCAAGAAGAUUGCAAAAAAGUGCGGUGGAUUGCCUAUAGCUGCUAAAACACUCGGAGGACUUUUGCGUUCAAAGGUAGAUGCAAAAGAGUGGGCUGCAAUUCUAAACAGUGACAUAUGGAACUUACCAAAUGAUAAUAUUUUGCCUGCUUUGCUUCUGAGUUAUCAAGAUCUCCCAUCUCAUUUGAAAAGAUGUUUUGCUUAUUGCUCAAUUUUUCCGAAGGAUUUUCCAUUUGAUAGGAAGCAAUUGGUUUUGUUGUGGAUGGCAGAAGGCUUCUUAGAGCAUUCUCAAGAAAAUAAAACACCUGAAGAAGUAGGUGACGGCUACGUUAUUGAACUGUUGUCCAGAUCCUUAAUUCAAGUACAACAAUCACACGGUGAUUUUGGAAGACAAAAGUUUGUUAUGCACGACCUUAUCAAUGAUUUAGCCUUAGUGGUAUCUGGAAAAAGUUGUUUCAGGCUUGAAUGUGGUGGUAACAUCUCUAAAAAUGUUCGUCAUUUUUCAUAUAAUCUAGAAUUGUACGACUUUUUCAAAAAGUUUGAAGUUCUCAACAAUUUCAAAUGCUUGCGAAGCUUCCUACCCAUUAACUUUUUCAACUUAUCUGAUGGUUUUUACUUAUCUAGAAUGGUUGUUGAAGAUUUGCUACCCAAACUCAUAAGGUUACGUGUGUUGUCCUUAAAUAAUUAUUUUAAUAUAAUCACGCUGCCAGAAUCAAUUGGCAGUAUGGUGCAGUUGCAAUAUCUAGAUCUCUCAUUCACUGGAAUCAAAAGCUUGACAGAUGCAAUUUGUAACCUUUACAAUUUGCAAACCUUGAAUUUAAUGCAGUGCAGAAAUCUCAGUGAGUUGCCAGUAUGUUUCGGACAUUUAAUUAACUUACGUCACCUGGACAUAAGUGGGACAAACAUAAAGAAGAUGCCAAAGCAAAUUGUUGCACUAGAAAACCUUCAGACAUUAACUGUUUUUGUAGUUGGAAAGCAAGAAAUUGGGUUAAGUAUCAAAGAUCUUGGGAAGUUUCCUAACCUACAAGGAAAACUUUGCAUCAAGAACCUGCAUAAUGUCAUCGAUGUCGUUGAGGCUAGUGAUGCCAACAUGAGAAGCAAAGAACAUAUGGUGGAGUUAGAGUUACAAUGGAGCAAGCAAACUGAAGACUCGCGAAUGGAGAAAGAUGUGCUUGAUAUGUUGAAACCGUCACUAAAUAUCAAUAAAUUGAGCAUUGACUUGUAUGGAGGCACAAGUUUUCCGAGUUGGUUGGGAGAUUCUUCGUAUGCUAACAUGGUGUCCUUGUACAUCUCUAACUGUGAAUAUUGCAUAACAGUUCCACCGCUAGGACAACUACCUUCUCUCAAGGACUUGACUAUUGGUGGUAUGAAAAUGGAAACAAUUGGGAUAGAAUUCUAUGGGAUGACACUAGAACCUUCCAUUUCUUCAUUCCAACCAUUUCAAUCUCUCGAAAAACUGGCUUUUUUUUGCAUGUCGAAUUGGAAGGAAUGGAUACACUAUGAAAGUGGUGAACUUGCUUUCCCUUGUCUUAGAACUUUGUCGUUAAGAAAAUGUCCUAAACUAAUGGGACAUUUGCCUAACCAUCUUUCUACAAUAGAUGAAAUUAGCAUAAUGGGUUGUGGUAGUCUCUUGACAACAACACCACAUACUACUUUACAUUGGGUCUCCUCAUUAAAAAAAAUAAGUAUUGAAGCAACUUUGUUACCUGUGAGUGGAAGGACCCAAGUGUUGUUACUUGAGAAUGAUUCUCCAUGUCUACUACAGAGUUUAUCCAUUUGUCACUAUUAUACACUAUUUUCAUUACCUACAAUGAUUAUGAAUAGCAAUUGUCUUCAAUCCUUGGAACUCCUUGAUGUUCCGUCUCUUGCUGCUUUUCCAACAAAUGGUCUGCCCACUUCAUUGCAAUCACUUAGAAUUACUAAUUGUGAAAAUUUAGAAUUCUUGCCUCUUGAAACAUGGGGCAAUUACACAUCGCUUGUGACUUUAAAUUUAUGGAAUAGUUGUCAUGCACUUACCUCCUUUGCAUUGGAUGGUUUCCCAACACUACAACGUCUUGCAAUUGCUGGUUGUACAAAUUUGGAAUCCAUUUUUAUUUCAAAAACAUCUUUGCUUCUUCCGUCAUCCCUCCAAUCAUUUGAGGUAAUUGGUUGUGGCGCACUUAGAUCAAUGACUCUACAUAUGGAAACUCUAACCUCUCUAGAAAGUUUGUCUCUCAUAUAUCUUCCAAAACUAUGUUUAACUUUGUGUGAAGGAGCUGGCCUACCUCCCAAAUUACGAGAUAUUUGUAUUGAAUCAGUGAGAAUAGCAACACCUAUAUUUGAAUGGGGUCUCCAACGCCUUACUGCUCUUUCAGAGUUGAGGAUUGGAGGUGAUGAUGAUAUUGUUAAUACCUUGUUGAAGGAGCGAUUGUUGCCUAUUUCCCUUGUGUUUCUAAGAAUCUAUAAUCUCUCUGAAAUAAAAUCCUUUGAAGUAAAUGGACUUCGACACCUUUCCUCUUUAGAAACACUUUGCUUUAAUAAUUGUCCAAGGCUUGAGUAUUUGUCAGAAGACGCGUUGCCUUCCUCUCUUACGUUAUUGAGCAUGGAAGAUUGCCCUCUAUUAGAAGCAAGGUAUAAAAGUCAGAGGUGGGAGCAUCUGUCCAUUCCUGUCUUAGUAAUAAAUGGUGAAGUGAUAAUAUGAGCCAGACCAGAAAAAUUUCCAUCAAGUUUCAGCAAAAACCAUCAUAGUAAGAUGGGGUACAAUUGCAUAAGAACUAACGAUUUCGAAAAGAAAAAAAAAAACUACAGAUACUAGCAGAAGAUCAUAAAACCAUGAGAUUAAUUCUACAUACUAUAUGCCUCAGUAGCACAAAUCAAGCCAGGGUUUUAAAUUGUGGCAGUUAUGAUUACGACUAUUGCGAUGUGAAUUUCGAUCGUUGUUGCGUGAUACUUUUUAGUCUGGUGCAGCCUAAUGCAGCAGUUACACUCACUACACUGCAGCACCACGAUACAGAUUUUUCUGUGAUUUAAAAUCAUAGUGCAAUUGUGUACUGAUGCGCUUGCAGACACUACCGUACCACUGCAAUAUUGCGGCCGCAUCACAUGAAGUGAUCCUCAAUUUGAUGUCUAAGACUUCGUUCCACAAUUCUGAACAAGAAAAUGAAAACUAUCAUAUAUUUAUUUAUCCUUAGGUUUGUCAUUGGUAAGACAUGGAAAGUGCAUAUACAGAGAUUUGGUUCAUCUUUUCAUUUCUCUUCAAGAAGCUACAGUCACUGAUUUGUUUAAGUUGGAAGCAUUAAACAUAAAGAUAAAUAAGAGAUAUUGUUUGCAAAGACAUCAUUGUUUGAGACUGCAAAAAAUAGAAGCAAGAUAUUAGUCUCAUUUGCUGUUGUUAAUCCAUUCUUCUUUUACUUAUUUUUUGAUUGAGACACUAUUUGUGAAUUGUUGAUAUUUUAUACUUCAAUUCUUGUAUGUAUUUUACUUUACAUUGGAUUCAAAAUAAAUUGUUGAUCUUCAUAGGUUUUCUUUGA